rnacentral:rRNA from 1 species
UACGUAGGGCGCAAGCGUUAUCCGGAAUUAUUGGGCGUAAAGAGCUCGUAGGCGGUUUGUCGCGUCUGCCGUGAAAAUCCGGGGCUCAACCCCGGACUUGCAGUGGGUACGGGCAGACUAGAGUGUGGUAGGGGAGACUGGAAUUCCUGGUGUAGCGGUGAAAUGCGUAGAUAUCUGGAGGAACACCGGUGGCGAAGGCGGGUCUCUGGGCAGUAACUGACGCUGAGGAGCGAAAGCGUGGGGAGCGAACAGG